UUUUUGUUCCUCUUCUUUUCUAGAUUCCUGUUACGUGUAUCUUCCCCCAUCUCCUGUUUGAUUCAAAGGUCACUAUGCAAGUUGACUCUGAUAAAACAUGGUUCUGACAAAGCAUGAUGGUUCCAUGGUAAAAAAGAGGUGAAAUUGCGACCAAUUUUACACCCUCUCCAGUACCCAUCCUUUAAAACUAAAUAAAAAAACAAAACACAAGCGUAUUGCUCAGGGAAGGAAGGACUGGGAGAAGAAAAGGAGGUCACUAGUGAAAGAACAUAUCCAUACAGGUAGAACUACCAUACGAUUUAUUUCUUAGAGAACAAAAAUCAAAUGGAGUGACUUUAAAUAUAAAUAACAGACAGGUUGUCGAGGUAAAAAGAUUUGAACGCUGUAUAUCAAGACUAGACAUUUCUUUUAAUGCUCUGGGGGGCUGACAGGGGUAAAUUCUCUUUUCUACUUCCUUGGAAUAAUUGAAGAGAUGUUUAUUCUU